UACUCAGCAUAUUUGAUAGUAUGCGUAUUAAUAUAAUUAGCUGUGCUAAUUAAAGAAAGAGUAG
rfam:Lactobacillus crispatus ST1 complete genome, strain ST1